rnacentral:tRNA from 1 species
AGUUUUAAUAGUUUAAAAAAUAAAAACUUUGGUCUUGUAAAUCAAAAAUGAAAUCUAACUUCUUAAAACUUC